ensembl:lncRNA ZPLD2P zona pellucida like domain containing 2, pseudogene
AGCAACCGGCUGCUCCAGGGCCUGCGGGCCAACGGGGCCUCUCUGGAGGUGACCUUGGCCUUCAACCUGAUCCGCUUCUCGACCAGCGAUACACUGUACCUGCACGGCCGAGUGACCCUGUGUGACACGCGGGCAAGACGCCCAUGCCAACCACUUGUAGUCAGAAGAACUCGCCUGGGAGGGAUCGCUCCUGGGAGAUCCGAACGCGGGAGGGCCUGGAGCGCGGCGGCAGCUGGAUAGCAUUCGGGCCCAUCCGAAUAAGCGGAGCCUGGAUGGCCAUCUUUCUUCUGAUAGCAAUAAGCUGGAUGCUGGGAUAGAAGCCUGAUACCUCCUCCAACCCUAGUCCUUGGCCUCUAGUUUACUCGCCUGAGGCAAGGGUAGAGUGGAGGAAGAUUUAGGGAAAGCAAGUAGUCCGUUUUAUUGUUACGGACCAGAGAGGUUGGGGGUGCAGAUGAAACCAACAUCUGGUUGGCCGGGCACGGUGGCUCACACCUGUAAUCCCAGCACUUUGGGAGGCCGAGGCGGGCGGAUCAUGAAGUCAGGAGAUCGAGACCAUCCUAGCUAACACGGUGAAACCCCGUCUCUACUAAAAACACAAAAAAUUUGCCGGGCGUGGUGGCGGGAGCCUGUAGUCUCAGUUACUCAGGAGGCUGAGACAGGAGAAUGGCAUGAACCCGGGAGGCAGAGGUUGCAGUGAGCCGAGAUCGCGCCACUGCACUCCAGCCUGGGUGACAGAGCGAGACUCCAUCUCAAAAAAAAUAAAUAAAUAAAAAUAAAAAAAAUAAAAAAUAAAAAAUUCAUUUGCAGGAA